rnacentral:rRNA from 1 species
ACGGCCAUACCAUGCUGAAUAUGCCGGUUCUCGUUAGCACCGAAAGUCAAGCAUCAUUGGGGAGCGGUCAGUACUUGGGUGGGUAACCACCUGGGAGCACCGCGUGCCGUU